AAAAAGAGCCACUUGAAUAUUUUUGAGCUAUGGGCUCCCUCUAACCUCAAUCUGCACUGUUUCUCUGCCAGGUUAUUGUAUUACCUGUGUCAUGGCUUCAUCUAUGUCAGGAUAAGAGGCUGAUUACCAGUAGCUAAAUGACUGGGAUGCAAGUUCACCAUGGUCAGCUAGAAGGUCACACAGAGCCAAUUCUAAGUAUCCCCAAAGAGCUCACCCAGGGGGUCUUUUAGAUUUGGUUGUUAUGUUUGUCCUUCUCUUCUGACCAGUGUCUACUUUGUCAUAAGGCUGGGUCAGAGAGCUGCCUCACUCAUUCUACAAACACCUGUGGGGUAUGCAGGGAUGUUCAGAGGUGAAACGAUGAAAUUAGGAGAGGUGUAACCUAAUCAGUGGAUGAGUCCAUUUGAUGGAUUAAUAUUUGACUGGAUUACUGGGUGGUAACUUCAGACAGGUGGGGCAUAGCUGGAGGAGGUAGUAGGUCACUGGGGUUGUGCUCUUGGGGACUCUAUAACUUGUCCCUGGCUCCUCUCUUAUUCUUUGCUUCUUAUCCACUUUGAGCUGAUCCUCUUUCCUCUGCCAUGUUCUUUGGCAAUGAUGUUUUGCCUUACCUUAGGCCCAGAGCCACGGAGCCUGCUGACCACGGACUGACCCUCUAAAACCAUGAGCCAAAAUAAACUUUUCCCUCCUGUAAGUUGUUUUCGUCAGGUGUUUUGGUCACAGUGAUAAAAAGCUGACUAACAUACCAGACACUGCCCCAUGCCAGGCUCUGGCAUGUCUUUGUCUUUGUCCCAUAUGGGUAGAUUGACCUCAUGGUUCCAAGCAAGGGUGGAAACCUCCAAGUCUUCCCUGAUACCCUGCUCAAGGUUGCAGUUCCCUGUCCUAAAGCUGUACCUUACCUUACACUAGCCAUGAGCUCCACAAGGUGGGGACCACGUCAGUCCUGCUCAUCACUGUGUUCCAGCACUAAGCACAGUGACUAGCACAUCCUAGGUGCUCAGUGUACAAAUGUGGAAUGGUUGGGCUGCUGUGGAAAGUUUUACAGAGGCGGUGCCACUUGAAGUGGGUCUUGAAAAGUCACAGGAGUUGGCCAGGAGAGGAGAUGAUACAGUACUUUGUAAAACAAAUGUGUAUGAUUAGGUUAAUGUCCCUUCUGGCUAGCACAGGGAAAUCCCUGAUGUUUAUAAGUAGUUUUAAUGGCAGCAUGGAAGUCAGGCCAGUGACGUGCCUCUUGAUUCUUAUUUCUCAAAGUAUUUGUGAGCCUUCCUUUCCACAUACCUGGAUAUCACCAGCUGCCUGCACUGAUGAGAUAAGCUGGGUUCAAAAGAGCUGGCUGCAACAUUAAGCUAAGAAAAUGGUGAGAAAUCACACAAUACAGAAGUAGUUUUCAUGUCAAGGGUAGGACACCUCUGAGACCUUAAGGGUCAACUGGGAAAGAGAGUGUGCACCUGGAGUCUAUUUCUUCACCAAAUAAGGCAGGAGAUAAUGUUUCAAAGGAAGAGUCUUGCUUUGUGAUGUCAGCAAAUUGACUGACAUCUUGGCAAGUCACACCCAUCUCAGGUGCAGUGAUCACAGGCAGAGUGAGAGGAGAGGCGCAUUUGUGUUGCACAGCCCAAUCAGAGUGCAAUGCCAGACCUGCCCCCUCACACAGCUCCAAUGCACAUAGCUCACACACAGAGCCCAUGGAAGGCUAGUGACACCUGGGAAACCCAUCUUGUAGUGAGAAUGGUUUGGUGAGUGUCGAGUCUCAGGACAGGAUGGACCACAGAAUCUGCCUUUCUUGCUUUCCUCUAUCUUCCUGUGAAAGAAAGCCACCACCCCCUCUAUAUUGGGUGCUUUGUUGUGCAUGUGCACCUCCAAAUUCUUACAAACUCAGUCCCCAAUGUAAUAGUGUUGACAGGCAAGACCUUGAACAGAUGAGUCAAUCAUGACGGUGGAACCCUCCUGAGUAAAUUCAGGUCUAUUAUACAAAUGCCUGAGUCUAUGUGCUUAAGUUUUUUUAUGCUUCAUGUCAUCAUAUUCUUCUGUCUUGGGAUGAAGUAGUAAGCAAGAUCUCAUCAGAUAUGGGUUCCUUUAAACUUGGACUUCCCAGGCCCCAGAACUGUACUAAAUAUUUUUUUUUAAAAAAAUAAAUGACUCAAUCU
rnacentral:lncRNA from 1 species